rnacentral:rRNA from 1 species
AUACGGAGGGUGCAAGCGUUACUCGGAAUCACUGGGCGUAAAGCGCGCGCAGGCGGCUAUUUAAGUUGGAUGUGAAAGACUACGGCUCAACCGUAGAACUGCAUCCAAAACUAUUUAGCUAGAGUGUGGGAGAGGAAGAUGGAAUUAGUUGUGUAGGGGUAAAAUCCGUAGAGAUAACUAGGAAUACCAAAAGCGAAGGCAAUCUUCUGGAACACUACUGACGCUGAGGCGCGAAAGCGUGGGGAGCAAACAGGAUUAGAAACCCUAGUAGUCC